GCGAACGCUGGCGGCGUGCUUAACACAUGCAAGUCGAACGAGACCUUCGGGUCUAGUGGCGGACGGGUGAGUAACGCGUGGGAAUCUACCUUGCGGCGGGGAAUAACUACUGGAAACGGUAGCUAAUACCGCAUACGCCCUUCGGGGGAAAGGCUUCGGCCACCGCUUGAGGAUCCCGCGUCCGAUUAGCUAGUUGGUGAGGUAACGGCUCACCAAGGCGACGAUCGGUAGCUGGUCUGAGAGGAUGAUCAGCCACACUGGGACUGAGACACGGCCCAGACUCCUACGGGAGGCAGCAGUGGGGAAUAUUGGACAAUGGGGGAAACCCUGAUCCAGCGACGCCGCGUGGGUGAUGAAGGCCCUCGGGUUGUAAAGCCCUUUCGACGGGGACGAUGAUGACGGUACCCGUAGAAGAAGCCCCGGCUAACUUCGU
rnacentral:rRNA from 1 species